UGGGGCCAGAGGUGGUAAACUUAGGGUUGAUGCAUCAGGAAGAAGCGAUCAGCAUGGUCUUCUCUGGCUCAGUCUCAUCCGGCUUCUGGGAAGGUAUUUGGGCGUGAGACACCAAAAUAUAAUCUUCAUUGUGAAUGGACUGAAAAUCUCUACCAAAAUAGAAUCUGCAUUCGUCUCUGCCCUCUUCCCAUCAAAAUAAAAUCCUUGCCAAUCGCCAACUGAAA